GUCCACGCUGUAAACGAUAAUCACUAGAUGUUAGUCUGGCUUAGCUGGAUUAGUAUCGAAGCUAACGCGUUAAGUGAUUCGCCUGGGGAGUACGGUCGCAAGAUUAAAACUCAAAGAAAUUGACGGGGGUCCGCACAAGCGGUGGAACAUGUGGUUUAAUUCGUCACUACGCGAGGAACCUUACCUGGACUUGACAUGUAUUUGACAGUUGUAGAAAUAUGAUCUCUUAGAUUUCGGUUUAAGCAGAUACACAGGUGCUGCAUGGCUGUCGU
rnacentral:rRNA from 1 species